CAGUCGCCACGGUAAAACGAAGGGGGCUAGCGUUGUUCGGAAUUACUGGGCGUAAAGCGCACGUAGGCGGAUAUUUAAGUCAGGGGUGAAAUCCCGCAGCUCAACUGCGGAACUGCCUUUGAUACUGGGUAUCUUGAGUAUGGAAGAGGUUAGUGGAAUUGCGAGUGUAGAGGUGAAAUUCGUAGAUAUUCGCAGGAACACCAGUGGCGAAGGCGGCUAACUGGUCCAUAACUGACGCUGAGGUGCGAAAGCGUGGGGAGCAAACAGGAUUAGAGACCCGUGUAGUCCCUGUCUCUUAUAC
rnacentral:rRNA from 1 species